CCUACGGGGGGCUGCAGUGAGGAAUAUUGGUCAAUGGACGAGAGUCUGAACCAGCCAAGUAGCGUGAAGGAUGACUGCCCUAUGGGUUGUAAACUUCUUUUAUAAAGGAAUAAAACGAGGCACGUGUGCCUUUUUGCAUGUACUUUAUGAAUAAGGAUCGGCUAACUCCGUGCCAGCAGCCGCGGUAAUACGGAGGAUCCGAGCGUUAUCCGGAUUUAUUGGGUUUAAAGGGAGCGUAGAUGGGUUGUUAAGUCAGUUGUGAAAGUUUGCGGCUCAACCGUAAAAUUGCAAUUGAUACUGGCAGUCGUGAGUACAGUUGAGGUAGGCGGAAUUCGUGGUGUAGCGGUGAAAUGCUUAGAUAGCACGAAGAACCCCGAUUGCGAAGGCAGCUUACUAAACUGUGACUGACAUUGAUGCUCGAAAGUGUGGGUAUCAAACAGGAUUAGAUACCCGGGUAGUC
rnacentral:rRNA from 1 species